CCUGGUGGCUCAGGUGGUAAAGCGUCUGUCUACAAUGCAGGAGACCCAGGUUCGAUCCCUGGGUCAGGA
rnacentral:tRNA from 1 species